rfam:Escherichia coli str. K-12 substr. MG1655, complete genome.
AUUCUGCCCAUGCGGGGAAGGAUGAGAAGCUUCGACCAAGGUUCGACUCGAGCGCCAGCGAGAGAGCGUUGCCGCAGGCAACGACCCGAAGGGCGAAGCGCGCAGCGCUGAGUAAUCCUUCCCCCACCACCA